UAGAGGGUAAUAUAUUGGUAGUAUAAAAAGUUUUGGGCUUUUUAGUUUAAGUUCGAGUCUUAACCCUCUAG
rnacentral:tRNA from 1 species